UCGACUAUAGAGUCGAGUGUUUACUUCUCAUGCGAGAAUAGAGUUAAAAGGAAGUAUUUUUUUUAAUUCAGCAAAGGACACGCUCAUUAGUUUUGAGUUAAUAUCAAUUUGAAUACAAACUUUUGAGAAAUCGUGAGGAACUUAAUUUUAGUAAGACUUGCUAAUUUGCAGACGCAAUGAAUUUGAAUCGGAUUUAAAUUAAAUAGCUGGAUUAUAAAGAGUGUUCUUAAAGCUAAAACAUGUACAAAUACUUAUACAGAUGAUUAGGAAUGAGGGAAUAAUCUUAAACGUGUUGUAUUGAAAAGAUGGCCUUAUACGUGCACUCGUAUCAUACUGGUACUCUGUACCUUCGGUUAUCUGAGGCACUUUCUUGUGGGAUGUGAUCCUGAGUGGUUGUCCGGCAGUUACCAGAAUCGAAGGUAGAUGGCUAGGCAGAUAUAUAUCGCGUAAUACUUGAGACACGACUCCGGAAUACGACAAGCUGAGGAUCAGUUAAACCUGCAUCACUGCUCAAGUACAGAGAAUCAACAUCAGCUUCAUGUAUGAUAUUGGACACAGUAAGAACCGAUGUUUAUCGGAUUAGGUGUGUAAGGCGACCAUGUUGCACAUUGAAGCUCGCACAUUCAGUUGCAUGUUUUACUUUUGAUAUAAUUGACACUUCUAUUUUGAAAUGGCGUAGACAUUUUUCUUGAGCUGCUUGAUAUCUGCCAACAAAAGCUUACUGUUUGGUGUCCUGCUCACAAUAUUUAAAUAAUUGAUAAUAUUACGCAAGUUUCCUUCUUUACUCAAUAUAUAUUAUACGCUAGAGUUUUGUCUUUGAACUAUUCAGCUAGCAACUCAGUAACGCAUUUAAAUAAUAUAAUAAGACAUGACGUUUGUAUAUCAACUUGGAUUUAUUUCAGACCUAGAUAUACGGCUGUCCUAGUCAUUUGAAAGUAUUAAGUCAACAUCAUUUUUACUGAAGUGUCAAGUGUCAAGAUAAGUAAAUGGAUAUUGGGAUUUUUCUUUGCAUUUUAAAUCUUUGACGACAAAUUGUAUCGUGUAUAUUGCAUUUAAUAUCAUUUAAAUAAAUACUCCCUUUUACAUGCUCAAGAUUUAAACAAAAUGCAAUCUACCUUGUGUACCAUUUUGUCUCCAGUUUUAUCCCGAGUUAAGUGCUUUAAAGCUAGCUUUCAUUAUUGGUAUAAUUAAUAGUGCUAAGAGUGUAUAGAACUAUUAAGACUGUAUGGAAAUAAUAAUAACAUUUCCGAAUCUGUGCAUAGCAAUACUGAAUGAAGUCCAUAUAUCUUACCUUGAUGUCUACCUGUUGUUGUUAUUGGCCACAUCCGACCAGAAUAUGUCUCAUAUGAUCUCAAGCUCAGAGAUUAGUAUUUGUAUGCAUAAUAUGUAGAAAGGGGUAAAAACGUAUGUAAGAAAUAAUAAAAUAAUAUUUUCCAAUUUUUACCUGUAAUAAUUUGAUGCAAAUGUCUUGUAAAGUCUGGAUGAUGUUUUUGUUAUGAUAAAUACCCUUAUGUCUGGUUUAAAAUCGGUUAGCUUAAUAUCUGUAAUAUCAUUGUUGUAUCCCCUUUAUAUAAAGCUGUUGUACCAGAUAUAUGCACUAUUUUUGAGAAAAGGAUUUUAGUCGAAUAUAAUGAUUAAUAACUAAUAACCAAUUUUAUUGACAGGAAAUUAUGAAGGUAUUUUAAGGCACAGCAUUGAAAUACGAUCAACUGAGGAUCAGUGCAACCGUCAUCACUGCUCAUGUAGAAAAUCAUCUUUAGCUUGAGGAAAUGGUUACAAUAGAAACGACAGUCAACACUGAAUUCCUGUUCGAAAGGGCCCAAGGGCGCUUUCUGGCAGCAUGUGGUCCAGGGUUGUCCGGCUUGCACCUGAAGGGAAGAUGAGGCGGUAUGCCGAAUAAACUACCUCGGACUUUGACAAGCUUGGUUUCUGCUUUCGCUGUAUCACAGUUGUACCCCUUGGACUGGUGUUUAACUGAUGAUUUACAUUUUGAGAAAUGCAGGACCGAGUUUCUUCUUACAGGUUAAAAAUGCGGAACAUGGGAAAGGUGACCAAAUGAAUAAAGCGUAGCUGAAUGAUGUCAGGCUGUGAUCUACUUAGCCAUCUAUCAGCAUUGUUGGUAAAUGCCAGACCACCCAGAACACCACACUUCCAGGAAGUGCUUCUUGUGACAUCAGUGUUAGGGUUUCAGUAAAGAGGAAUAUUACUUUUCCACUAAAUUCCUGAUAUGGAGGUCACAUGUUAUUAUUCCUAACAGGAUAUGGCCUUUUUUUGUCCGAUGAAUAUCCAGAAUCACAGGUGAUAUGCCGGAGACACAACACCAAAAUGUGAACGACAUUGGAUUCAUCAAAAGAUAUCACAGUUGUCUCUCUUUGACCGCUGUAAAAAGAAUAGGGCAAACCUGCAGUUUUUGGGCAAGCAGGAAGGCCAAUACGCCCCGAUAUUCAACACUGAAUCACUGAUCUGGAGGUCACAUGAGAAAUUCCUGUAUUAAAGUUGUUCUUGGUUGUCAGAUAUGUCAAUACGUGCAAACUGCAAUACUGAUCUGGAGGUUACAAAAGACUUUAGCUGGAAGGAUUUUAUCCUGUUGUGUCCAGCAUUUAUUAUAAUAACAGCAAUGCAUUUCGGUCAAAGGAUUGCUUCUAACAAUUGCCUCUGUAUUAUGAAAUAUUUCAAAAUUACAAUAUUCUAUACAUGUGUUAAACACACAUGUGAGCGUAGAUUAUUGAACUAUGUAAACAAAGAUAUUGAACAUAUUCUUGGUUUUUUAUGUAUUAUGAACGAGAAUGACCAAACAAACCUAAUGAAUGGUAGCAAAUUUGUCAUGACAAUAUGUAAAACACUGUAAAUCUUACCUGGCUUUCACUUAAUAUUAUUGAACUGUUAAUUAAUCUGAAUAUGUAUCUUGUUUGAAUAAAUUAGAUAUAUUUAGAACGCUUAUAGUCUGGUUGAACGCCCUAUAUUUAUACUUUAGUACAUAUGUACUCUGCAUUACAUGUAUUUAUAUCUUUUCUCAUACUGUAUGUUUUGCGUGAACAAUAAAAUUGUAAACAGCAA